UACGAAGGGGGCUAGCGUUGUUCGGAAUUACUGGGCGUAAAGCGCGCGCAGGCGGUCUUCCAAGUCAGUGGUGAAAGCCCGGAGCUCAACUCCGGAAUUGCCAUUGAAACUGUUGGACUUGAGGAUGAGAGAGGUGAGUGGAAUUCCCAGUGUAGAGGUGAAAUUCGUAGAUAUUCGCAAGAACACCAGUGGCGAAGGCGGCUCACUGGCCCGGAACUGACGCUGAGGUGCGAAAGCGUGGGGAGCAAACAGG
rnacentral:rRNA from 1 species